rnacentral:lncRNA from 1 species
CAGUGGUAUGUGAUGAACCUGCCCUUUCUGUACCCAGAGCAUCAGAAUCUAGCUGCUUUCUUGGGGGCUACAGAGGGAGGAAGGGACCUGCUGUCUACACUCUCAGAAUCUUAAUGUCCUUGGAUUUUGCUUCAGAGAGAGAGACAGCAAGAGAAGGAACAUAAGCAGGACAAGUGGGAGAGGGAGAAGCAGGCUUCCCACGGAGCAAGGAGCCGGAUGCUGGACUCGAUCCCAGGACUGUGGAAUCAUGACCUGAACUGAAGGCAGAUGCUUAACGACUGAGCCACCCAAGUGCCCCAACGUCAUUAGUUUUUGAUGUAUGGACAAGUUUGUAA